AAGUAUUCGAAGACUCCGUGACCCUGGAGGUGGAAAAUACCUGCCUAGGCCAAUCAGAGCAAGGAUUAAGUGCAAGGCCACGGAGAGACAGACUCUCUCCGUAAGUGCCAGCUGUCCUGGAGCUCCGCUUCUGUCUCCUGAGUGCUGGGGUUAAAGUGCGGCAGCUGCAUCAUUCUGAACACUAUCAGCUUCUACGUGCUGGAAACUGAAUGUAGGAUCUCUCCUGUAAUUAAGCAAGCACUCCACCAGAGCCACCCCUCCCAUCCCCCAGCCCUGCACGCUUGUGAGCCCUCUGGGAAUGUCCCCGACAGUCACCACCCAUGUUGGAGGGCUCC